rnacentral:rRNA from 1 species
AGAGUUUGAUCCUGGCUCAGGACGAACGCUGGCGGCGUGCUUAACACAUGCAAGUCGAACGGUAAGGCCCUUCGGGGUACACGAGUGGCGAACGGGUGAGUAACACGUGGGUGAUCUGCCCUGCACUUUGGGAUAAGCCUGGGAAACUGGGUCUAAUACCGAAUAUUCCUUGCUGGUCGCAUGGCCUGGUGGGGGAAAGCUUUUGCGGUGUGGGAUGGGCCCGCGGCCUAUCAGCUUGUUGGUGGGGUGAUGGCCUACCAAGGCGACGACGGGUAGCCGGCCUGAGAGGGUGUCCGGCCACACUGGGACUGAGAUACGGCCCAGACUCCUACGGGAGGCAGCAGUGGGGAAUAUUGCACAAUGGGCGCAAGCCUGAUGCAGCGACGCCGCGUGAGGGAUGACGGCCUUCGGGUUGUAAACCUCUUUCAGUACAGACGAAGCGUAAGUGACGGUAUGUACAGAAGAAGCACCGGCCAACUACGUGCCAGCAGCCGCGGUAAUACGUAGGGUGCGAGCGUUGUCCGGAAUUACUGGGCGUAAAGAGCUCGUAGGUGGUUUGUCGCGUUGUUCGUGAAAACCGGAGGCUCAACCUCUGGCGUGCGGGCGAUACGGGCAGACUUGAGUACUGCAGGGGAGACUGGAAUUCCUGGUGUAGCGGUGGAAUGCGCAGAUAUCAGGAGGAACACCGGUGGCGAAGGCGGGUCUCUGGGCAGUAACUGACGCUGAGGAGCGAAAGCGUGGGGAGCGAACAGGAUUAGAUACCCUGGUAGUCCACGCCGUAAACGGUGGGUACUAGGUGUGGGUUUCCUUCCUUGGGAUCCGUGCCGUAGCUAACGCAUUAAGUACCCCGCCUGGGGAGUACGGCCGCAAGGCUAAAACUCAAAGGAAUUGACGG